UUGAACGCUGGCGGAAUGCUUUACACAUGCCAGUCGAACGGCAGCACGGGGGCAACCCUGGUGGCGAGUGGCGAACGGGUGAGUAAUACAUCGGAACGUGCCCGGUCGUGGGGGAUAACGUAGCGAAAGUUACGCUAAUACCGCAUACGAUCUGAGGAUGAAAGCGGGGGACCUUCGGGCCUCGCGCGAUCGGAGCGGCCGAUGUCAGGUUAGGUAGUUGGUGGGGUAAAGGCCUACCAAGCCGACGAUCUGUAGCUGGUCUGAGAGGACGACCAGCCACACUGGGACUGAGACACGGCCCAGACUCCUACGGGAGGCAGCAGUGGGGAAUUUUGGACAAUGGGCGCAAGCCUGAUCCAGCCAUUCCGCGUGCAGGACGAAGGCCUUCGGGUUGUAAACUGCUUUUGUAUGGAACGAAAAGGCUCUGGCUAAUACCUGGGGCUCAUGACGGUACCGUAAGAAUAAGCACCGGCUAACUACGUG
rnacentral:rRNA from 1 species